ACUCAAAGGAAUAGACGGGGGCCCGCACAAGCGGUGGAGUAUGUGGCUUAAUUCGAUGCAACGCGAAGAACCUUACCUGGCCUUGACAUGCAUCUCUAAACCGGUGAAAGCCGGCGAGUCCCGAAAGGGACAAUUUGCACAGGUGCUGCAUGGCUGUCGUCAGCUCGUGUCGUGAGAUGUUGGGUUAAGUCCCGCAACGAGCGCAACCCUUGUGAACUGUUGCCACCGAGCCGAGAGGCUCGAGCACUCUGUUCAGACUGCCCUGUGAAACGGGGAGGAAGGUGAGGACGACGUCAAGUCAGUAUGGCCCUUACGGCCAGGGCUGCACACGUACUACAAUGCCCAGCACAGAAGGAUCCGAGACCGCGAGGUGGAGGAAAUCUCUAAAACUGGGCUCAGUUCGGAUUGGAGUCUGCAACUCGACUCCAUGAAGCUGGAAUCGCUAGUAAUGCCGUAUCAGCUACGACGGCGUGAAUACGUUCCCGGGCCUUGUACACACCGCCCGU
rnacentral:rRNA from 1 species